AGCUUUGCGCAGUGGCAGUAUCAUAGCCAAUGAGGUUUAUCCGAGGCGCGAUUAUUGCUAAUUGAAUACGUCGCGUUUUCUUACGCGGUCACCUGUGGAUGGACGUGGGGCUACCUUCUGACUGCCGUGAGCGCGG
ensembl:snRNA U4 U4 spliceosomal RNA